rnacentral:snoRNA from 11 species
AUACGAAAUAUUUAAAUGCCUUCUAUUCACUGUGCCAUCUUUUUCAAGUAGUUAGAUGAUCAGAGGGGAAAAGAAGCGCUAGAUCAAAUUUUUCGAAUGAGCGUCCUCAUACUGUUCAUGGUAAUUCGUUUGCUUAGAGACACAUCUAUUCAUAAUUUGGCCAUGAUCGGUAACUGCGCGAUUUGAACAUUA